CAGCCUGGGCGACAGAGUGAGACUCUCUCUCAGAAAAAAAAAAAAAAAAAAAAAAAAAACCUUGAAAAAAGAUAGUGUGGUGGCCAGGCACAGUGGCUCAUGCCUAUAAUCCCAGCAUUUUGUGAGGCUGAGGUGGGCAGAUUACCAGAGGUCAGGAGUUUGAGACCAGCCUGGCCAACACGGUGAAAUCCCAUCUCUAACAAAAAUAGAAAAAUUAGCCAGGCAUGGUGGUGCAUGCCUAUAGUCCCAGCUACUAGGGAGGCUAAGGCGGGAGGGUGGCUUGAACCUGGAAGGUGGAGGUUGCAGUGAGCCAAGAUUGCACCAUUACACUCCAGGCUGGGUAAGAGUGAGACUCCAUCUCAAAAAAAAAAAAAAAAAAAAAUAGUGUAGUAUUGGCAAAAGAAUAGACAAACAGAUUAAUGGAACAGAAUAAAGAACCCAGGAGAGACCCACAUUAAUACAGUCAACUGGUCUCUGACAAAGGAGUAAAAGCAAUACAAUGGAACAAAGAUAGAAAGACUCUUUUCAAGAGAUUAUGUUGGAACAACUGAACAUCCACAUGCAAAAACAUGAAUCUACACAUAGACCUUACACCCUUCACAAAAAUGAACUCAAAAUGGAUCAUAGACCUAAAUGUAAAAUGCAAAACUGUAAAACUUCUAGUAGAUAACAUAGGAGAAAAUCUAGAUGAUAUUGGAUUGGUGAUGACUUUUUAAAUACAACAGUAAAGGCAGGAUCCAUUUAAAAAAUUGACAAAGAGCUGGGCUUCAUUAAAUUUAAAAAGCUCUGCUUUGUGAAAGACACUGUCAAGAGAAUGAGAAGACAAGCCACAGACUGGGAGAAAAUAUUUGCAAAAGGUAUAUCUGAUAAAGAGCUGUUAUCCAAAAUACACAAAGAACUCUUAAAACUCAACAAAAAGAAAUCACCCAAACAAGUUGCCUGUUUUAAAAUGGGCAAAAGACUUGAACAGACACCUCACUAAAGAUUUACAGAUGGCAAGUAAGCAUAGGAAAGAUACUCUACGUCAUGUUAUUAGGGAACUGCAAAUUAAAACAAGAUUUCACUACAUACCUAUUAGAAUGGCCAAAAGCCAGCCGGGUGCAGAGGCUCAUGCCUGUAAUCCCAGCACUCUGGGAGGCUGAAGCAGGCAGAUGACUUCAGGUCAGGAGUUUGAGACCAGCCUGGCCAAUAUGGUGAAACCCUCUCUCUUCUAAAAAUACAAAAAUCAGCCAGGCGCGGUGGCGUGUGCCUGUAGUCCCAGCUAUUCAGGAGGCUGAGGCAGAAGAAUGGUUUGAACCCGGGAGGCGGAGGUCGCAGUGAGUGGAGAUUGUGCCACUGCACUCCAGCCUGGAUGACAGAGCGAGACUCUGUCUCAGAAAAAAAAAAAAAAAAAUCAGCCAGGCGUGGUGGCACACGCCUGUAAUCCCAGCUACUCGGGAAGCUGAGGCAGGAGAAUUGCUUGAACCUGGGCAGUCAAGGUUGCAGUGAGGCGAGAUAGUGCCACUGCACUCCAGUCUGGAUGACAAAGGACACUCCGUCUCAGGAAAAAAAAAAAAAAAAAGAAUGGGCCAAAACCAAAACAGUGACGAAACCAAAUGUUUCAGAGGAUGUAGAGCAACAGAAACCCUCAUUAACUGCCAACAGGAAUGCAAAAUGGUACAGCCACUUUUGAAGACAGUUUGGCAGUUUCUUACAAAAUGAAACAUACUCUUACCACAGAAUCCAGGACUCAUAUUCCUUGGUAUUUAUGAGUAUUUAUACUCCCAAAGGAGUUGAAAACUUAUGUUCACACAAAAACCUGUACACAAAUGUUUGUAGCAGUUGUAUUCAUAAUUGCCAAAACUUGGAAGCAACCAAGAUGUCCUUCAGUAGGUGAACAGAUAAUGUACAUCCACAUAAUGGAAUACUAUUCAGCAGUACUUCCAAAAUGAGCUGUCAAGCUCAUGAUUCAGCCAUGAAAAGACUUGAAGGAAUCUUAAAUGUACAUUACUAAGUGAAGGAAGUCAAUCUGAAAAGGCUACAUAUACAGUAUGAAUCUAACUACACAACAUUCUGGAAAAGGCAAAACUAUGGAAGCAGUAAAAGGAUCAAUGGUUGCUAGGGGUUGAGGGGAGGGAAGAAUGAACAGGUGCAGCAGAGGACUGUUCGGGCAGGGAAACUCUUCUGUAUGAUACUAUAAUGGUAGAUGCAUGUCACUGAAAAUACAUCCAAACCUAUAGAAUGUACCACCCCAAGAGUGAACCCUAAUGUAAACUAUGGACUCUGGUGAUAGUGACGUGUCAAUGAAGGUCCAUCAGUUGUAACAAAUGACCACUCUGGUGCCCAGUGUUGGUGAUAAGGGAGGCUGUGCAUGUGUGGGGACAGGGAGUAAAUGAGAACUCUCUGUACCCUCUGCUCAGUUUUACUGUGAACCUAAAAUUGCACUAAACAAAUAAAGUAUAUUUAAGAAAACGGUCACGGCCACUUGAAUUGCAGUAAUAAACAUACAGAGACUUGGUUAACGGGUCACAGAGUAUUGAAUCUGACAAACACGGUUAACUGCAUUACAAUAAAAUAUAGGAAUAAUUGUUUAAAAGAAAAGAUUGAGGCCAGGCAUGGUGGCUCACACCUGUAAUCUCAGCACUUUGGGAGGCCAAUAUGGGUGGAUCACCUGAGGUAAGGAGUUCGAGACCAGCCUGGCCAACACGGUGAAACCCUGUCUCUACUAAAGAUACAAAAAUUAGCCAGGCAUGGUGGCACAUGCUUGUAAUCCCAGCUACUUGGGAGGCUGAGGCGGUAGAAUUGCUUGAACCCAGGAGGCAGAGGUUGCAGUGAGCCAAGAUUGCACCACUGCACUCCAGCCUGAGCAACAGAGUGAGACUCCAUCUCAAAAAAAAAAAAAAAAGAAAAAGAAAAGAAAACAUUGAGCCCUGGGGGGAUGCUGGACAGUGCGCAGCACCACAGGGCUAGAAAAAAACACCCUGCCCUAAAGGAGACAAGAUGAUCCAAUCCCAUCCCAGGGCUCACAUACAUGCAGUGUAUGUGACCCAAUCAGUGACCCACAUACAUGCAGGCCAGUUCCUGCCUUAAAACCUGUGACUUCAUGCCAGUCAGUCGUGGUGGCUCACGCCUAUAAUCCCGGUACUUUGAGAGGCCACGGCGGGCGGAUCACAAGGUCAGGAGAUGUAGACCAACCUGGCUAACACGGUGAAACCCCGUCUCUACUAAAAAUAGAAAAACUUAACCGGACGUGGUGGCAGGCACCUGUAGUCCCAGCUACUUGGGAGGCUGAGACAGAAUGGCGUGAAUCUGGGAGGCGGAGCUUGCAAUGAGCCGAGAUUGCGCCACUGCACUCCAGCCUGGGCAACAAAGAGAAACUCCGCCUAAAACAAAACAAAACAAAACCUGUGACUUCUUCCUCCUUCCAGGUAAGCUCUCUUCUCUGGGCUCUACUGCCCUCCUGUCAUCAUCUGUUGUCCCAGGAGUGUUUGUGGAGGUACACUGGUAACACUACUAGCUGCUCAAAGUCUCUAGUUCUCUCAAGAAGCUGAGGGAUUCAACAUGGUGCAGGCAGGCCCAGCUCCACAUUGCCUGAAGGCUUUUUCUCAGGGGCAGAAAGAGCCAGGGAAUGUAUGCACCCUGGGAUCAACCUGUAACCACUGACUAAAGGCAGUAGGCAAACACCCACAGCCGCCACCUCUCAGGUGAGGUAAUUCAGAGGCAACUGCUGUGUGCAGCCCCCUAGAG
rnacentral:lncRNA from 1 species